rnacentral:rRNA from 1 species
CCUACGGGCGGCUGCAGUGGGGAAUAUUGGACAAUGGGCGAAAGCCUGAUCCAGCCAUGCCGCGUGUGUGAAGAAGGCCUUCGGGUUGUAAAGCACUUUCAGUGGGGAAGAAAGCCUUGGGGCUAAUACCCUCGAGGAAGGACAUCACCCACAGAAGAAGCACCGGCUAACUCCGUGCCAGCAGCCGCGGUAAUACGGAGGGUGCGAGCGUUAAUCGGAAUUACUGGGCGUAAAGCGCGCGUAGGCGGUCUGAUAAGCCGGUUGUGAAAGCCCCGGGCUCAACCUGGGAACGGCAUCCGGAACUGUCAGGCUAGAGUGCAGGAGAGGAAGGUAGAAUUCCCGGUGUAGCGGUGAAAUGCGUAGAGAUCGGGAGGAAUACCAGUGGCGAAGGCGGCCUUCUGAACUGACACUGACGCUGAGGUGCGAAAGCGUGGGUAGCAAACAGGAUUAGAUACCCGUGUAGUC